AGCUCCAAUAGCGUAUAUUAAAAUUGUUGCGGUUAAAAAGCUCGUAGUUGGAUCUGCGGCAUUCUGGAUUUCGGUCCCAUAUCUAUGGUGUACUGAAUAUCCGUGCCUACCUCUCUGAUAUUCGUCGGUGGCUCUUCAUCGGGUGCCGAUGCGAUCAGACAGUUUACUUUGAAAAAAUUAGAGUGCUCAAAGCAGGCGUCUAUGCCUGAAUAGUGGUGCAUGGAAUAAUGGAAUAGGACCUCGGUUCUAUUUUGUUGGUUUUCGGAACUUCCGAGGUAAUGAUCAAUGGGAAUAGAACGGGGGCAUUCGUAUUGCGACGUUAGAGGUGAAAUUCUUGGAUCGUCGCAAGACGGACUACUGCGAAAGCAUUUGCCAAGAAUGUUUUCA
rnacentral:rRNA from 1 species